rnacentral:lncRNA from 1 species
AUCUUGCUUCAUCGAAUGAUUGAAUGAUACUACCCAACUUUCCGUAGAAAAGACUUGUACGUGAGAUGUUUGCUGGUUUGGCCACAGCGUAAGAAUGGUAUAUGUUCAUUCAGGUAACUUUUGUGUUUGUCAUCCAUUGAUCAAUAAGUAUAUCAUCUACAUUUAACUGCUUAAUUUUUCUGACUGCGUUCGGACCUCUGAACAACUCAAUUUUUUCCAUCUUGCUUCAUCGAUUGAUUGAAUGAUACUGAUUUUUGCUUUAUUCAUUCUAUCAUGUAUCUGCGAAUUUUGCAGGAGUGGGGGAACGUCAUAGUAUUCUAUCGUGUAUCUGUGAAUUUUGCAGGAGUGGGGGAACGUCAUAGUAUUCUAUCGUGUAUCUGUGAAUUUUGCAUGAGUGGAGGAACGUCAUAGUAGUCUACACCGAAGGUUUAUAUAUCAUAUAAACAUAAAACUAGAUGACAAAUGUAGCCUCCUAUAUAUUGAAUAGACGAUUAUUUAACUAUAAAAGUAAAAUAUCA